rnacentral:rRNA from 1 species
UACGUAGGGACCAAGCGUUGUUCGGAUUUACUGGGCGUAAAGGGCGCGUAGGCGGCGUGGUAAGUCACUUGUGAAAUCUCUGAGCUUAACUCAGAACGGCCAAGUGAUACUGCUGUGCUAGAGUGCAGAAGGGGCAAUCGGAAUUCUUGGUGUAGCGGUGAAAUGCGUAGAUAUCAAGAGGAACACCCGUGGCGAAGGCGGCUCUCUGGAACGCAACUGACGCUGAGACGCGAAAGCGUGGGGAGCAAACAGG